AACGAACGCUGGCGGCAGGCUUAACACAUGCAAGUCGAGCGCCCCGCAAGGGGAGCGGCAGACGGGUGAGUAACGCGUGGGAAUCUACCCAUCUCUACGGAAUAACGCAUGGAAACGUGUGCUAAUACCGCAUACGUCCUUCGGGAGAAAGAUUUAUCGGAGAUGGAUGAGCCCGCGUUGGAUUAGCUAGUUGGUGGGGUAAAGGCCUACCAAGGCGACGAUCCAUAGCUGGUCUGAGAGGAUGAUCAGCCACACUGGGACUGAGACACGGCCCAGACUCCUACGGGAGGCAGCAGUGGGGAAUAUUGGACAAUGGGCGCAAGCCUGAUCCAGCCAUGCCGCGUGAGUGAUGAAGGCCCUAGGGUUGUAAAGUUCUUUCACCGGUGAAGAUAAUGACGGUAACCGGAGAAGAAGCCCCGGCUAACUUCGUGCCAGCCGCCGCGGUAAAAC
rnacentral:rRNA from 1 species